UACGAAGGGGGCUAGCGUUGCUCGGAAUCACUGGGCGUAAAGCGCACGUAGGCGGACUCUUAAGUCAGAGGUGAAAUCCUGGAGCUCAACUCCAGAACUGCCUUUGAUACUGGGAGCCUUGAGUUCGGGAGAGGUGAGUGGAACUGCGAGUGUAGAGGUGAAAUUCGUAGAUAUUCGCAAGAACACCAGUGGCGAAGGCGGACUCACUGGUCCAUUACUGACGCUGAGGUGCGAAAGCGUGGGGAGCAAACAGGG
rnacentral:rRNA from 1 species